rnacentral:lncRNA from 1 species
GCUGCACCUGUGGCAUAUGGAGGUUCCCAGGGUAGGGGUUUAAUCAGAGCUACAGCUGCCAGCCUAUGCCACAGUCACAGCAACUUGGGAUCUGAGCCAUGUCUGUGACCUACACCACAGCCAAGGCAAUACCAGAUCCUUAACCCACUGAGCAAGGCCAGGGAUCAAACCCAAAACCUCAUGGCUCCUAGUCAGAUUUGUUUCUGCUGUGCUACAGCUACAACAAUAAAGAAUAAAUUAUAGGAGGGAGAAAAUCCCAUUCAUAAAGGCAAAUAUGUGGUAAAGGUUGGUACCAAAACCAGACAAAGACACUACCAAAAAAAAAUUAUAGGCUAAUAUCUCUGAUGACUAUACAUGCAAAAGUCCUCAAUAAAAUAUUAGCAAACAGAAUUCACCAUUCCAAAAAAAGGAUCAUACCCCAUGAUCAAGUGAGAUUUAUUCCAGGAAUGCAAGGAAGUUUCAAUAUUUGAAAAGCAAUCAAUGUGAUAUACCACAUUAACAAAACAAAGGAUAAAAAUCACAUGAUCACUCAAUAGAGGCAGAAAAAGCAUUUGGAAAAAUUCAACAUCCAUUCAUGAUAAAAACUCUCAUCAAAGUUGGUAUAGAGGGAACAUAUCUUAACAUAAUCAUGGCCAUUUAUGACAAAAUCACAGCUAAAUCAUAUUCAACAGUGAAAAGCUGAAAGUUUUCCCUCUAAAAUCAAGGAUAAGACAAGGAUGCCAACUCUUGCCACUUCACAUUUAACAUAGCAUUGGAAGUCCUAACCACAACAAUAAGCCAAGAAAAAAAAUACAUUUAUUUUUUUCCAAAGUGAGCCAUUUGGAAGAAGAAGUAAAUUAGAAGGGAAGCCAUUUAGAAGGGAAGAAAUAAAACUGUCACUAUUGACAGAUUACAUAUUAUAUAUAAAAAACCUUAAAGUCAUCAUCAAAAAACUAUUAGAACUAAUAAAUGAAUUCAGUAAAGUCACAGGAUGCAAUAUUAAUAUACAGAAAUAUGUUACCUUACACUAAAAAUAAACUAUCAUAAAGCUAGAAAACAGUCCCAUUUACAAUUGCAUCAAAAAGAAUAAAAUACCUAGGAAUAAACUUAACCAUGGAGGUGAAAGACCUAUACUCUGAAAACCAGAAGACACUGAUGAAAGAAAGUGAAGACGAUACAAUAAAUGGAAAGAUAUGUGAUGUUCACGAACUGGAAUAAUUAAUAUUGUUAAAAUGGCCAUACUACCCAAAGCAAUCUAAAAAUUUAAUGGAAUCCUUAUCACAAUACCCACGAUAUUUUUGACAGAACUAGAAUAAAUAACUCUAAAAUUUACAUGGAACCACAAAAGAUCCUGAUGAGUCAAUGCAAUUUUGAGGAAAAAAGAACAAGACUGGAGGUAUCACACUCCCUGAUUUCAGAGUAUACUAAUAAGAUAUGGUAAUCAAAAUAGUAUGGUACUGGCAGAAAAAUAGAAACAUUGAUCAAUGGAAUAGAGUACUGAGCCCCAAAAUAAACCCAAACACCUAUGGUUAAUUAAUCUACAACAAUGGAGGCAAAAAUAUUCACUGAGGAAGACAGUCUCUUCAAUUAGUGGUGCUGGGAAAACUGGACAGCUGCAUGUGAAAGAAUGAAAUGAGAACACUUUCUCACACUUCCUACCAAAAUAAACUCAAAAUGGAUUAAAGACCUAAAUGUAAAACUGGAAACCAUAAAACUCCUAGAAGAAAACAUAGGCAGAACACUCUGUGAUAUAAAUGGCAGCAGUAUUUUUUUUGGAUCUAUCUCCUCAAGCAAAGGAAAAAAAAAAAAGCUCAAAAAUAAACAAAUGGAACCUAAUUGAACUUAAAAACUUUUGCACGCCAAAGAAAACCAUCAACAAAACAAACAGAAAACCUACUAAAUGGGAGAAGAUAUUUGCAAAUGAUACGACAGACAAGGGGUUAAUACAUAAAAUAUAAAAACAACUCAUACAAUUCAACAUCAAAAAACCAAACAACUUGAUUAAAAAAUGGGCAGAAGAUUUGAAUAGACAUUUGUCCAAAGAAGACAUACAGAUGGGCAAUAGACACAUGAAAAGAUGCUCCACAUCUCUAAUCACCAGGGAAAUGCAAAUCAAAGCCACAAUGACAUAUCACUUCACACCUGUUAGAAUAGCUAUUAUCAAAAAGACCACAAAUAACAAAUGUUGAUGAGGAUCUGGAGAAAAGGGCACCCUAGUAUACUGCUUGUGGUAAUGUAAAUUGGUGCAGCCACUAUGGAAAACAGCAAGUAGCUUCCUCAAAAAACUAAAAAUAGAACUACCAUAUGAUCCAGUAAUUUCCAUUCCUAAAAAAGGAAAACACAAAUAAAACAUAUAUGCACUCCAAUGUUUAUAGCAGCAUUAUUUAUAGUAGCCAAGAUAUGGAAGCCAUAUAAGUGUCCAUCAACAGAUAAAUGGAUAAAGAAGAUGGUGGUAUGUUCAUACAAUGGAAUGUUACUUGGCCCUAAAAAAGAAUGAAAUUUGCCAUUUGUGACAACAUGAAUGGACCUGAAGCGUAUUAUGCUUAGUGAAGUAUAUCAGACAGAGAAAGACAAAUAAUGUGUCAUCACCUAUACAUGAAAUCUAAAAAAUAAAACAAAUGAAAGAAUAUAACAAACAGGAAUAGACUCAUAGAUACACAGAACGAAUUAGGGGUUACCAGUGGGGAGAGGAAUGAGGGGAGGAACAGGUUAGAUAUGGGGGGUUAAGAGGGACAAACUACUAUGUAUAAAAUAAAUAAGCUACAAGUAUAUAUUGCACAGCACAAGGAAUAUAGCCAUUAUUGUACGGUAACUUUAAACGGAGUAUAAUCUAUAAAAAUAUGGUAUCAUCGUAAACUAAUAUAACAUUGCAAAUACUUCAAAAAAAAAAAAAAAAAGGAGUUAACUUUUCUACCCAGGAUACUGAAUGCAUAUAGUGAAAACCCUGAGGAAGACAUCACCCAGUCUGUGGUUCAGAACUAGGCCCACAGGAGGAUAGUAGGGACCAUGAGAACCAGAGUUGCUAUAGCAGAUGAGAUGAGUGCAUUCAACCCCUUGGAAGCAGAAAGCAGAAUUACUGAGGGAAUCGGGGAAAGAUUCAAAAGCAGUGAAAUUGAAUUCUGGAAAGCUCUCUAAAGUUCUUUCUUACUCUUGGACAAUAAAGAUGCUAUUCCACAAACACCUGAAUUCCGUAAGAAGAGCUAAAGAACAGAAAGGGAAUGUAAGUUCCUCUAACACUCAUUUCUGAAAACCCACCACUAAAUACAAAAUGCUAUAUACAAUGUCUAGAAUUUGAUUAGGAAAUUGAGUAAGAAUGUUAAUGAAUACAUUAAACUUCACGGACACUAUUCAUACAUAAAUAGAGAUAUUCAACAUUUAUAAAACACCUACUAUGUGAGAGGAAUGGUCCAAGAUAUUCACUCCAGUAUUUCCUCAAUAUGCUCACCAGGCUUAAGAUAUAGUAAAUUUGAUAUCACGCAUCAGUAGAAGAGAAAGAUAAUUUUGGACUGAAUUGUAUAUUUUUUGAACCAUAGUAUGGGAUAUUCAAACAAUAAAACAUUUAGUGAGAGAAGCCAAUUCAGAUAAUGAGUAUUCUAGCUAGCCUUAGGUAAGGUGUCAUUUUAAAUAAUAAAUAGAAUGUGAAUGAGGAAACAAAAAGAUGCGAUUUAUAGCUGAAGCCACAGCAAGAUGGAAAUUUACAGCAGAAAAAGAAAGUCUUGAUCUAUAAUCUAAGUUCCAUCUCAAAAGCCUAGUUAAAGAAGAGCCAAAAAAAAAAAAAAAUCAAAACAAAAAGAAGAAAGUAAGCAAUAAAGCUCAGAAAUCAGUGAAGUGGAAAAGAAAAACAAUGGAGAAAAAUCAAUGGGAAAAAAGACCUAGGUCCUUAAAAAGAUCAAUAAAAUUGACAUGGCUCUAGUAAGUCUGACAGAGAGAAGACACAAAUGAUCAAUGUCAGGAAUGAAGCAGGAGAUAUCACUACAGAUC